CCUACGGGAGGCAGCAGUGGGGGAUAUUGCACAAUGGGGGGAACCCUGAUGCAGCGACGCAGCGUGGGGGAAGAAGGGCCUCGGCGUGUAAAGCCCUGUCAGCAGGGAAGAAAAUGACGGUACCUGAAGAAGAAGCUCCGGCUAACAACGAGCCAGCAGCCGCGGGAAUACGUAGGGGGCAAGCGUGAUCCGGAUGUACUGGGUGUAAAGGGGGCGCAGACGGCGAUGCAAGCAAGGAGUGAAAGCCCGGGGCCCAACCGCGGGACUGCUCUUGUAACUGCGUGGCUGGAGUGCAGGAGGGGCAGGCGGAAUUCCUGGUGUAGCGGUGAAAUGCGUAGAUAUAAGGAAGAACACCAGUGGCGAAGGCGGAUUACUGGACGAUAACUGACGGUGAGGCGCGAAAGCGUGGGGAGCAAACAGGAUUAGAUACCCUUGUAGUC
rnacentral:rRNA from 1 species